GCCCUCAUCGUCUAGGAGUUAGGACACCGCCCUUUCAAGGCGGCGACAGGGGUGCGAAUCCCCUUGGGGGCG
rfam:Elusimicrobia bacterium RIFOXYA12_FTLL_49_49 rifixya3_full_scaffold_370, whole genome shotgun sequence.